GAUGAACGCUAGCGGCAGGCUUAAUACAUGCAAGUCGUGGGGCAGCAUGAGUAGCAAUACUUGAUGGCGACCGGCAAACGGGUGAGGAACACGUACACAACCUUCCUUCAAGCGGGGAAUAGCCCAGAGAAAUUUGGAUUAAUACCCCCAUAAAUAUAUUUGAUAAGGCAUCUUAUUAAUAUUAAAGCUUCGGCACUUGAUGAUGGGUGUGCGGCUGAUUAGAUAGUUGGCGGGUAACGGCCCACCAAGUCUACGAUCAGUAGCUGAUGUGAGAGCAUGAUCAGCCACACGGGCACUGAGACACGGGCCCGACUCCUACGGGAGGCAGCAGUAAGGAAUAUUGGACAAUGGACGAAAGUCUGAUCCAGCCAUGCCGCGUGAAGGAUUAAGGUCCUCUGGAUU
rnacentral:rRNA from 1 species